rnacentral:rRNA from 1 species
UACGGGGGGAGCAAGCGUUGUUCGGAUUUACUGGGCGUAAAGGGCGCGUAGGCGGCGCAACAAGUCACUUGUGAAAUCUCCGGGCUUAACCCGGAGCGGCCAAGUGAUACUGUCGUGCUAGAGUGCGGAAGGGGCUACUGGAAUUCUCGGUGUAGCGGUGAAAUGCGCAGAUAUCGGGAAGAACACCCGUGGCGAAGGCGGUUCUCUGGGACGGUACUGACGCUGAGACGCGAAAGCGUGGGGAGCGAACAGG